rnacentral:rRNA from 1 species
AUUGAACGCUGGCGGCAGGCCUAACACAUGCAAGUCGAGCGGUAGAGAGAAGCUUGCUUCUCUUGAGAGCGGCGGACGGGUGAGUAAUGCCUAGGAAUCUGCCUGGUAGUGGGGGAUAACGUUCGGAAACGGACGCUAAUACCGCAUACGUCCUACGGGAGAAAGCAGGGGACCUUCGGGCCUUGCGCUAUCAGAUGAGCCUAGGUCGGAUUAGCUAGUUGGUGGGGUAAUGGCUCACCAAGGCGACGAUCCGUAACUGGUCUGAGAGGAUGAUCAGUCACACUGGAACUGAGACACGGUCCAGACUCCUACGGGAGGCAGCAGUGGGGAAUAUUGGACAAUGGGCGAAAGCCUGAUCCAGCCAUGCCGCGUGUGCGAAGAAGGUCUUCGGAUUGUAAAGCACUUUAAGUUGGGAGGAAGGGCAGUAAAUUAAUACUUUGCUGUUUUGACGUUACCGACAGAAUAAGCACCGGCUAACUCUGUG